CCCGCUGAACUUAAGCAUAUCGAUAAGCGGAGGAAAAGAAACUAACAAGGAUUCCCCUAGUAACUGCGAGUGAAGCGGGAAAAGCUCAAAUUUAAAAUCUGGUGGCCUUUGGCCAUCCGAGUUGUAAUUUAGAGAAGCGUCUUCCGCGCUGGACCGUGCACAAGUCUCCUGGAAUGGAGCGUCGUAGAGGGUGAGAAUCCCGUCUUUGGCACGGACGCCCAGUGCUUCUGUGAUGCGCUCUCGAAGAGUCGAGUUGUUUGGGAAUGCAGCUCAAAAUGGGUGGUGAACUCCAUCUAAAGCUAAAUAUUGGCGAGAGACCGAUAGCGAACAAGUACCGUGAGGGAAAGAUGAAAAGCACUUUGGAAAGAGAGUGAAACAGUACGUGAAAUUGUUGAAAGGGAAACGCUUGAAGUCAGUCGCGUCGCCCCAGAAAUCAACCUUGCUUUUGCUUGGUGUACUUUCUGGUUAACGGGUCAGCAUCAAUUUUGACCGGUGGAUAAAGGUCAGGGGAAUGUGGCAUCUUCGGAUGUGUUAUAGCCCUUGGUUGCAUACAUCGAUUGGGAUUGAGGAACUCAGCAUGCCGCAAGGCCGGGUUUUUAACCACGUACAUGCUUAGGAUGCUGGCAUAAUGGCUUUAAUCGACCCGUCUUGAAACACGG
rnacentral:rRNA from 1 species